GAUGAACGCUGGCGGCGUGCUUAACACAUGCAAGUCGAACGAAGCAUUUAAGACAGAUUACUUCGGUUUUAAGUCUUUUAUGACUGAGUGGCGGACGGGUGAGUAACGCGUGGGUAACCAGCCUCAUACAGGGGGAUAGCAGCUGGAAACGGCUGGUAAUACCGCAAAAGCGCACAGUACCACAUGGUACAGUGUGAAAAACUCCGGUGGUAUGAGAUGGACCCGCGUCUGAUUAGCUUGUUGGCGGGGUAACGGCCCACCAAGGCGACGAUCAGUAGCCGAGAUGAGAGGGGGACCCGACACCUUGGGACUGAGACACGGCACAGACUCCUACGGGAGGGAAGAGUGGGGGAUAUUGCAAAAUGGAGGGAACUAUGAUGGAGCGACGACGGGUGAGUUCAGAAGUAAUUGAAUAUGUAAAGCUCAAUUAACAGGGAAGGUAGUGACGGUACCUAACUAAGAAGCCCCGGCUAAAUACGUG
rnacentral:rRNA from 1 species